GACGAACGCUGGCGGCGUGCCUAACACAUGCAAGUCGAGCGAGAAUCUUUAAAUUGAUUCCUUCGGGAUGAUUUUUAAAGAGGAAAGCGGCGGACGGGUGAGUAACGCGUGAGUAACCUGCCUUCAGGAGGGGGACAACACUUCGAAAGGGGUGCUAAUACCGCAUAACAUUGUUUUAUCGCAUGGUAUUACAAUCAAAGAUUUAUCGCCUGAAGAUGGACUCGCGUCUGAUUAGAUAGUUGGUGGGGUAACGGCCUACCAAGUCGACGAUCAGUAGCCGAACUGAGAGGUUGAUCGGCCACAUUGGGACUGAGACACGGCCCAGACUCCUACGGGAGGCAGCAGUGGGGGAUAUUGCGCAAUGGGGGCAACCCUGACGCAGCAACGCCGCGUGAAGGAAGAAGGUUUUCGGAUCGUAAACUUCUUUAAGUGGGGAAGAUAGUGACGGUACCCACAGAAUAAGCCACGGCUAACUACGUGCCAGCCGCCGCCGUAACAC
rnacentral:rRNA from 1 species